AUAAGGGUUUCAAAAAGGCAACAAAAAAAAACGCGCCUUAAAUCUCGCCGGAAAUCGCGAGAUUUCCAGUGAGGCAUGCCUUGCCAACAAGGGCGUAUUAACUCCCUGAGUCCCCAUGUUAAACCUAGCUACCUUAGUAGCCGUCCUUUCUUUUUGAGCCACUGUCAUACCUGUGAGGGAGGAGACGAAAGGUUUAGGUGAGGAAUCGAAAACGUCUCGAGACUUCUGUGAGUCCUUAGAUAGAGCAAACCGAUGCCAGGGUACGUCGGGCAAGGGGGGACAAACACACCACCAGAGACAGACGGACGGACGACGACCAUCCCACCGGCGACAGUAGUCGAGUUCUUUGAUUAGGGUUGUCGAGGCUUUCGGGUGAGGAAGACGAAGCGGCGACCGCUAGUUGACCCUUCGGCAUUCCGCGAGUUCGUCUCGGUCAGCGUCAAGCCACACCUCGCGAGCCGCGCUCGGACAUCACCAUUGGGCCUCGUUUCCUUUCGGCCCAACCCAGAGACGCAUCCAGGAACCCUGCACCGUCAGUGUCCUUCGCAGCCCAUCGGUUUCGUUGCACUCCCGGCUCGGCUAGGUCAGCUUUGCGGCACGGCUUAGCGGCUCGACAUACAUAUAAUAUAUCGAUUCCUAGAUUUUUAACCCUCUGGAGCCAUUCCCACCCCUUUUUUUAACCAUCUGAGGUCAGUAUAACUCUAUUUUGAUAGAACAGUUUGUGACAGGGACGUACCUUGGUAGCUAGGCAUAAGAGCUAGAUGUGAAAUGACUCUAAGUAUAUCAUGUUGUCUUAUAGGAGGUAGUUAGGCACCGGGGUUAGCAUGGUGAGCGACUUCGGCCAAGGUCAAGGAGGUAAGGGCAAGGCUCCCAUGUACGGCAGACGGUGGAUGCUGCGAACGUCAUGGAAGUCUUAAGGAGGGUUUGUAGUGUCGUAGGCAUCUUGUUGGAUUCUUUUGGUUCAUAGUUAUUGCAAUUGUCCAUCUAAUUCUCUGUUGAUUAUUUCUAGGUUAGGUUGUCGUUAUUGUUUUCUCCCGGGUAUGAACUGCUUAUAAUAAUGAACGUAUUGCGCACGUGAAUACCUUCCAAGCACGUGGAAAGCGCAAGCCUAUGAGAGGACCUACCAUAGAAAUUUCAAGAAUUUUGGAGCUCUUAACACACAAGAAAGCUAGCUUGGGAAGAUUCCACAAUCAAGCAAGUAACCCCACAUAUUUUAGGAAGUAAUGAUUAUAGGGAUAGCUUGGAUAUGCAUGGAUGCUAGUAAAACCAAACCAUAAAUGGUCAGAUUUGAUAUUAUUUGAGCCUAGGACGAUUGGAUAAACAUGAAAAUAGUCAUGCUAGGUAUUUACAUAAUUGAAUUACUUCUCUCAUGAUGUAAUGGAUUGUUUAUUACUGAUUGUACAUAGUUGUGUUCGUAUGGAGGAUGGAAAUUUGUGUAUCUAUGCUCCGGGAGCUUGAUGAAGAUUAUCACCCUGUUAGCUAUUAUAGUGUCCGAGGAACUUCCACUUCCAUUCCCACUUCAGUAUGGUACUAUUGCGGUAGGCAUGAGGCUGGUUAAAAAUGUGUGACUUGAUGGUUUGUUAGAUUACCCUGCACGGUAGAUCCAUCUUAUGGUCGAGCAUUGAUCAUGCGAGUAAUUAGUGGUUACCUUGCAUAGAUGAUCCGUUUUGUGAGUAGAUGUUAAUCAUGUGGGUAGCUAGCGAAGCUUGCAUGUACUAGGGAGUUGUGCCUGCCAACCUUGGGCGACUAGACGGCUUAUGGGAUGGGUUUGCCAGCUAGCCUCCCAUUGAUGAAGAUCAGGCUAGCAACACCAGGUUAUCCUCAUCUAGUAUGGAGUCCUUUGAGGUCAUAUUGGUUACUGCUGCGUAGGCUAAGCUAGCUACCCAAAACUGCGCACAGUGUUUGCAAGCUUUUGGUCAAGGUGGAGGAGCAUUCGAAAGUUGGUCACAAAGAAGGUCAUUCCGAAGCGUCAAUCCAUCUUUGUGUUUGAACCUUUUGUAUUUUGUUUUGUAAUUGUACCACAAAUUCAUUUUGUUCUUUUUUAAUAAAGUUGAACAAACACAUUUGAAAUUUAUAUGUUAUAUCUAAUUUUGGUA